AUUUGAUCUGAAAUCAGGCGGGAUUACCCGCUGAACUUAAGCAU
rnacentral:rRNA from 1 species